rnacentral:rRNA from 1 species
AGUGAACGCUGGCGGUAGGCCUAACACAUGCAAGUCGAACGGCAGCACAGUAAGAGCUUGCUCUUACGGGUGGCGAGUGGCGGACGGGUGAGGAAUACAUCGGAAUCUACUUUUUCGUGGGGGAUAACGUAGGGAAACUUACACUAAUACCGCAUACGACCUACGGGUGAAAGCAGGGGAUCUUCGGACCUUGCGCGAUUGAAUGAGCUGAUGUCGGAUUAGCUAGUUGGCGGGGUAAAGGCCCACCAAGGCGACGAUCCGUAGCUGGUCUGAGAGGAUGAUCAGCCACACUGGAACUGAGACACGGUCCAGACUCCUACGGGAGGCAGCAGUGGGGAAUAUUGGACAAUGGGCGCAAGCCUGAUCCAGCCAUACCGCGUGGGUGAAGAAGGCCUUCGGGUUGUAAAGCCCUUUUGUUGGGAAAGAAAAGCAGCAGGUUAAUACCCCGCUGUUCUGACGGUACCCAAAGAAUAAGCACCGGCUAACUUCGUG